GAAAGCGUGGGGAGCGAACAGGAUUAGAUACCCUGGUAGUCCACGCCGUAAACGAUGAUUACUCGGUGCUGGCGAUAUACAGUCAGUGCCUAAGCGAAAGUGAUAAGUAAUCCACCUGGGGAGUACGAUCGCAAGGUUGAAACUCAAAGGAAUUGACGGGGGCCCGCACAAGCGGUGGAGCAUGUGGUUUAAUUCGAUGAUACGCGAGGAACCUUACCUGGGCUUAAAUGCAUAAUGACAGGCUGAGAAAUCAGUCCUUCUUCGGACAGAAUGCAAGGUGCUGCAUGGCUGUCGUCAGCUCGUGCUGUGAGGUGUCGGGUUAAGUCCCAUAACGAGCGCAACCCCUAUUGCUAGUUGCCAGCACAUAAUGGUGGGGACUCUAGCAAAACUGCCCGUGCAAGCGGAGAGGAAGGUGGGGACGACGUCAAGUCAUCACGGCCCUUACGUCCAGGGCUACACACGUGCUACAAUGGUAGAGACAGAGGGCAGCCACUUGGUGACAAGGAGCUAAUCCUAAAACUCUAUCUCAGUUCGGAUUGAAGUCUGCAACUCGACUUCAUGAAGCUGGAAUCGCUAGUAAUCGGAUAUCAGCCACGAUCCGGUGAAUACGUUCCCGGGCCUUGUACACACCGCCCGUCAAGCCAUGGAAGCUGAGGGUGCCUGAAGUCGGUAACCGCAAGGAGCCGCCUAGGGUAAAAUCGGUAACUGGGGCUAAGUCGUAACAAGGUAGCCGUACCGGAAGGUGCGGCUG
rnacentral:rRNA from 1 species